GCGGCUCGGCCCGUUGUUGUUAAUGGCGCGCGGGGGGUCGCACGGCUUCACCCCCGCCGGCGGCCAUGUCUGCUGAGGGCAGGGCGGUGCCGGGGAUGUUUGGGGGGCUGCGGGCAGCGAACGGGCAGGGUGCUGCCCGUGGGCUGGGCAGACGCCUCAGGAUAGGCCCCACAGACUGAGACAGCCAAGCAGUGUGGCCCGUGGUCCCCUCGGCACGGAGACAAGCUUUAUUGUCCUUUUCCUGAGGCGCGUUCCCAGUUUCCCCACCACCUCAGUGUGACCUAACCCAUAGACAGAGAGAGCUUGUGGUGCUGCCGAGCCAGGAUUUGGGGGAGGGAAGUGACCCCCGUCCUCAGAGCAGCCCGUGACCAGGAGUUGCGUAUCUGGCACAGCAGGAAGGCGGGACAGACCCGGCUGCACCUUCAAGGAAGGACUCCCUCCGUGCCUCCGGGCGUGGCGGCACACCUAGCAAGGAGCAACAGACACAAGCCCAAAGGAAAAGAUUGCCGGGAGGACCCGCUGCCUCCUUCGUUUUAGGCUAAGGAGAGCGCGAGCCGUAGACGAGGAUGGCCGCAAUCACGCCGAGGAUGCUGAAGAGGACCCUGAGGAUGCGGGGCAGGGCGCUGGGGCGGGCCCUGCCUCGGGGCUGCAGGGCUCUGACCACACGCUGCCGCUGGGUCAGGAUGGCCUCCCUGGCACCCGCCCACGCACCCGGGCCCCGCAGCCGGUACUGGUACGGCGUGCAGGGACCGAAGGCCACCUCCAGAGCCAGCCUGGGGUCCGUGAGGAAGAGGACCUGUUUGGCUGUGUGGCUCAGCUCCACUGCGAUAUCGAUGCCUGAAUUCCCGGUGCCAACUACGACCACCCGCUUUCCCGAAAAGGGUUGUGGGCUCUUGUAGUCCCGGCUGUGCAGGUACGAGCCCUCAAACUUUUCCAGCCCUGGAAGAGAGAGGGAAGCCAUGCUGGGCUGGGAUGUGGGGUAGGAGGGUGGCUGCCCCCUGAUCAGAUUGGUGGUGUAUUUUGGGAACAGGCUGGGGUAGUGCCCAGAAAGGUGGUGGCAUCUCCAGCCUGGGAGAUUCUCAAUGUGGCCCUGAGAAUCCUGCUCUGGCUUUGAGGCUAGCCUGACUUGGAGCAGGGCUUGGACUGAAUACCUCUGUGCUCCCAUACCAAAAUCUUCCUGCAGUUCCUGUCUGGUGCUAUGCAGUGAGGGUAGAGGAGCGGCUGGGGUUUGUACCAUAUCACCAGACUCUGGUGAUGGUGUCCUCCAGCCUGUUCCCCAGCCAAAGAGGGUCUCCACAGCUGAAAGCCCUCCAGGCAUUUUUGCCUGUCUCCCAAAGGAGAAGGCCAACACGAGUGCUGAGCUCUCAAGCUUGGUGAGGAGCUGGAGAGCCCAGCAUGUGCUUGGCCAGCAGUGUGGAGAGGGAGCCUGUCUCUGGUGGGAGAGGCACACUGGCAGCUGUGACAUCUGCCAGCAGGAUGCUUUGGGUGCUCAUGCAAUCCCACCUGGUGUGUUAAAACUUCAGAGGCAUUUUUGGUAGCACUCAGAGCAGGGUGGAGGCUGAGCAGGAGAGGAGGGUGGUCCCAGGGGUGUCAAGGACCAGGCGAGCAGCCCGUGAGGCAGUACCUGGGAAGGUGUUCAGCGGGAGAUGUGCAUCGGUGUGGUGCCCGCUGCACACCAGCACGGCGUCGAAGACAGCUGCCUCCUGCUUCCCCUCGCUCUCCGUCACCACCUCCCACUGGCCCGUGGUGGCAAAGUCAGGGCGCUUGGACACGCGGCACACGCUGGUCUGGGUGCAGGGGGACUGGGCGUCAGGCACCCUGCGCCCCCUGGCCCCGCUGCCACCACCCCCUUGGCCCCCCAGCUCUCACCCUGAAGCGGAUGUGGCGGAGCAGGUCGAAGUGCUGGGCGUACAUGCGGAAGUACUCCAUGAUCUUGGAGUUGUGCAUGUAGUUGGGGAAGUCCUCGGGGAUGGGGAAGUCGCUGAAGCACAUCAUCUCCUUGGAGGUGUUGAUGAUGACGGAGCGGUAGAUGCUGGCACGGCCGUCCUCGGGGUUCUCCUGUAGGAGUGGGUCAUGGCUCAGCACUGGCCAGGGGAUUGAUGGGGAGGGGUGGCCAGGGUUGAUUGUGCUGCUCCUUUACAUGGAGACCCUGCCCUCAGUCUCAUCCAGAGGACCCCACCGUGGCUGGCUGCAUGCCACCCCACCAGACACCACGGAUCCCUGGGGGCCACUGUGCUGACCCCCAGCACGACACGUGGCCGGCAGGGUUUACCUCAAACCUCCAGAGGCCUCCGAUGUCCCGGCUCCUCUCGAAGCAGACGGGCUCCAGCCCCUCCUGCAGGCAGGCUUUGAUGGCGCACAGCCCGCUGCUGCCCCCGCCGAUGAUGGCCACCCUCUUUGCCAUGUUGGGCUUCACCACGGGAUCUCUGCCUGGGGACAGCGCCGGAGAGUGGGGCUGGGGGUUGCAACUGUGCAGACUUUUGGCCCUGUGCACCAAAGAGGCCCCAAGUUGAGAGGAAGCCCCCCAGAAAUUUGCCUGGGGUUUUGAAGCAACUGCUAUUCCCCCCCAAGUGGAGACUGGCCACUGCUGGGUUUUGUACUAUUUUGGUGUUGCCUCUGGAUGCCCUGGGGAGAAAUGCUACCGAGUGCCAGGCAGCCUGAAAAUGUCCCUGCCCAUGCUAAGUCCCAGCGAUGGAGGUACACCAGAAUACCGUGCCCCGUCAUGGAGACCGACGGCUCCUUCCCAAGUGGGUGACAGUCCCUCCGCCUUGCCCUUCGCCCUCUUCCUUCCCGGAGGUGAUGCCCGUCCUGCUGUCCCGGUGCCCACUGCGUGCCGACAGCCCGGGGAACACCCUCAACGGGGACACCCUCAACCGGGACACCCUCCACCGACCUGCGGCUGGGGGAGCAGCAGCCCAGGGAAGGCGGGCGGCAGGUGGGGAGCCCCUCGGGGGUCUCUGCCGGGUUAUCCCGAGCCGUGAGGCCGGACCGCGGCCUGGCUUUGUGGUGCGCAGCGGCCGUAAGCGGAGCCUCCCCCUCCGUCACUCCUCCCACGGCGCCAGGGGAAGGAAGCCAGGAGCCGGCUGCCUCCCGGCCGUCUGCUCUGCUUUUCCGGCAGCGGCUGUCGCUACAGCCUCGACAGCGGGGUAAGGAGCCGUCCCGGGCACCGUGCGGGAAAGCAGACAAGCAGCCGAUCCCCGUGGCGUACGUGCUUAGUGAACAAACGCUGCCCUGAACUUUUACCUCUGGGAUUAUAUGGAUCAGCCCAACCCUGUUUAUCCUGGUAGCCGGAGGCACGCGCGGUUCUAUCUGCUCCAGAGACACCCGGCAGAGCAUCGCCCACUCCCCCUGUGCCCCUGGGCUGGGCGUGUCGGCACAGUGUCCCUAUAGCCGCGGCUCACUCGUGGGCUGCCCGAGUCCUGGGGCCAGCGGGACCCUGGUGCGAGGAGCAUCACACUGUCAGGGUGUCACUGGUGCCAGGGUGGUGGGACCAGUUAGGGAAAGGCUCUCCCCGACAGCAGGAAGCACUGACCAUGUGGAUCCAGAGCUUGCUGUUGGCUCCUGGCACACUCAGCCAGACAGCUCUUGGGGACUGCAGGGGAAAUUUGCUCUCCCAUGUUCAGGGAACUUUGCCCCAGAGCUGAGCAAGGCACAGGGCUGCAGAGGGGUCAAGAUCUGCAACUGAAAUGGCUUUAAUUUUCUAAGCCUCACAGUAUGUCUGCAGUAAGUUAAUAAAACUCCUUCUGUACCUUGCUGUUGGCAAGGGCUGAUCUUUGCCCGGGGCAGAGGUGCUGAGCUGCCAACCCGCACUCUGCCUGCCUGUCAAAAAGCAUCAAAAGCAUCUUACCAGGCAGGGGGAUCAGCACGGGUACAGCAGUGUGGCAGCACUGGCAGUAUUACUCUCCCUGCUCUGCUCUCAGCUGGCUUCUGGCUCUUCUGCAAGCUCUGCACAGAUUGCCCAAGGGUGAUAAGUACAGGAGACCUCUGAACUCUCAACCUCACUGCUGUCCUAUCAAACCUUUGUGCAGGUUGCCUCUAAACUUACUCUUCUCCCUACAGGAGGUUGCACUGCUCUGGACUUUGCCGUGCUGUGCUUGGGCUCAUGCCAUGGCAUUUUGGUCAAGCUGUUUGAUGUCCACGGGAAAGUUACAGUUCCCCAUGCCUGGCAAGCACCCAGGAUAUAGUGUGGGGGGCAGAGUCUGCUCUGGGCUUCCACAGAAGGCAGGGGUGCCAUGGGACGAGCAGAGCAGAAAGCACCAGUCUCCUCCUUCUUAUCAGUGGGUUAGUACUCAUCUUUGGAGGAGCAAUGACAGGUGACAAGCACAGGAGGAGACCAAAGUCUCUUUGGUGGAGAUGGGAAGAUGCAGAGAAGAGGUGAGAGGAUGGCUGGGCGGCCUGUGACCCAAAAGGGCUGUGCACUGGUGGGUGCCACCAGGCAGCUCAUGGAGGGUCCUACAAGUGAGUCAAGGGCAACUUUUGGCACACACAUGGGCUUUGGGAACAAGCCACGGGUGUGUGGAUUUGCUGUUGUACUCCUCCAUGACCUGGAGAGGAAGACCCCAACGACUGUAAGAAUCGCUUGGAUGAAAUGCACCCUGUGUUUGGGAAAGAGCAGAGGUGUUCUGGCACAUCUCAACAAGCUCUGAUCACCUCAAACUCUACCCACACUGCAGUGUGCCACCUGUCUGUGCCCCUGCAGCCACCACAGGGCUCGUCUCUGCCUUGGGGCAGGAGGGCUGGCCGGGGUGUCCAGGUGCUGCCGUGCACAUGCUGAACUGGCCCAGCCGGCUGCCAGGCAUGCAGUGCAACCCAGGGGAUUAUUUUUUUGGUCACUGGAGCACAAACCCACAUCUGGUAGUUUCACUGGCUCACCCUGGCAGCGGGUCAGGGCUCAGCUCUGGGGGAACUCUGUCAAGCACUUUCAUUUUGGCCCCUGUAUAACUGACAGUGGGUGACAGACAGUAACAGGGUGCUUGUGCCUAUGGCCCUCAGGCUGCUCCUGCACACUUCACCCAGGGGAACAGCACACUUAAACAUUGCCUGGUCUUAAUAUGACUUAAUUGGUGCUUUCCAGAGCCUGAGUGCAUCAAGAGACCUCAAUGACCACAAGGAGCCUCAGCUGGACCCAGUCAUCCCACCCACAUGCCAGGAGUGCUGUUUAAGCUCAUUAUUUAAGCUUAGUCUAGAGCCUUCACUCCCUGCCUGGCUCUGGUUCUUCUGCUUUUCUGGCUCAAUCUCAACCCCAGCUCAUUACAGAGGCUCCUUGUGGUCCCCUCCUGCCAAGGACAAGCAGCCCUCUGUGAAAAACAGACCAACAGUGCCAGGGCAGGUGGUGGUUGUCAGAGCCUCUUGCUUACCUGCAGGAGGUGCAGGUAAGGCUCAGACCUGGGGCUGCCCUGCAGCCUGGGAGAGGGCAUAUUGCUGGUCUGUGAGGAAGGGGCUGUUUCUCCAGAAUGCUGUCUGCAGCCUGGGAACAUGGUGACCACCAGGAAUUGCUAGGAAUGCACUGUACCCCCUGGGAAACUGAAAAUCCUAUGGAGGGGAAGAGGAGCAGGGAAGCUCUGCACAAGGGCUUCAGGAGUAGGCUGCUGUUGGGAGCUGCUUCCCCCUGGAUGGACCAACCCUUCAGUCCCACUGUCCUUUCCCCAUGGCACUGGGGGCCAGGUGCCUGUGUCCUCAUUGCUCAAUAUCUGACCUCAGUGCAGUACUUAAACUGAGAGCAGAAGGGAAGAGAUUGUUUAGAAAGGCAGAGCUAUUUAUAACCCUGAGGAGAGACCCCCACGAGCCCUUCCAGACAGGUGUUACAGAGCAGGCUGCACAGGAUAUGCUUAUGACAGCAGCAUGAUCAGUGUAUUUAUAGAAUACAGAUACAUAGGUGAUUGUAGACAAACCUCUGCAAAGUCACAGCUACCACAUACACCAUGGGCUAUUGCAAGUGACCAGCAAGAGCAUGCAGAUUCACAGUAUCAUCAGCAAGCUGCCGGGUGAAAUGUGCUGAGCCCUCCCCAGGCUCUGCAGAGACUGUUUUUUUUUGGUCACAGAACAGUCAGUGCAGCUGUUUGGCCAGUGCAGACCCUGCCUGACACCUGACCAGGAGGGCAAGACAGCACCAAACAUCCAAGUGCAGACCAGGAGCCUGCAGCACCGCUCAUGUACAAGUCUUGGCCAGACUGACGGGGUUUAGGAUGCGAGUUCAAGUCCCAGUAUCCCCUCCCUUGUGUGUGCUUAGGAAACCAGCGCAGGCCCCUCCUUUGUGAGGAGCCCGCCUGUCAGUGGUCCCAGAGCGCGAAGAGGGCGGGCGCGUUGAGUGGGGACAGCCAGCAGUGCUCCACCACGCUGUACAGGGCGUAGCCCAGCACCAGCCCGAACAGCACGUCCGUCAUGUUGUGCCUGCCCAGCAUCACCCUGGAGAUGCUGACGAUGAGGGCCCAGAGCACCACGAGGACGCGCAGCGGGACAGCGAGCACCAGGUGCCGCAGGACGAAGCGGCAGACCAGGGCGGCGCGGGUGGCGUGGCCCGAGGGGAAGGAGUACUUGUCCACCGAGAUGGUGACGAACAUGUCCAUCUUGUUGUGGGUGGGCCGUGGCCGCUUCACCAGCCCCUUCACCACGGCCACCAUCACCAGGUCCAGCAGCAAUGCUAGGAGAGACAGGAGCAGUGGGUUACUGAAAGCACUGCUGUUACCUAUGAAAGCGCUUGGCUGCCCAGACCUGCUAAGAGAAGGCAUUGUUUCCCAUGGCUGCAACACCCAGGCAGGGAGAGCACAGCACUCGUCUGCACUUGGCCUUCUGCAGCAUGACCACGUCCUCAACCUCUGCCCCCUCGUGCACCACCAGACCAUCUACCUGCCACAGCCCAACAGGGCUCUGCCAGGGCUUUUGUGUAAAAUCUGAUCUCACUGUGACUCUGGGCUCAACCUGCCCCAUAACCUGAAGGCAGCAGAGGGACAACUCCCUUCCUGGCAAUGCUGACUCAGCAUUGUUCUGCCUGCCCUGGUGACUGGAGUUCAAACCUACCGGGUGAAUGAUCAACCCGCUCCAAGCACUCAGCCACAGCUCGGUGUGAGAGGCUCUGAGCUGGUGUGGUGCCAAGGGUCCUGGAGCCUGGCUUCUCCCUGCUGCUGGAGGGAAAGCUAACUGUGCUGUGGUUUUCAAGAGAUGACUAAAGGAUGAUUUAUGUAACAGUGGCUUGACCCUGAGAGGUAAAGGCUGUUCUGGUAGAAGAUGCAAAGUACCUGUGAGAAGUGUUCAGCCAGUAUUUGGCAAGAGCAGCUUCUCGUGCAGGUCAGAGGGUACUUUCUCUACCCCUGUGAGUUCUGCUUAGCCCUCACAGCCAGGGCUAUUCUUCCAGGGAAGUCAUGUAAGAGACCAGCUUCUGCUUGUCCUAAGGCUUGUUUCUGGACACCAAACCUUUUGGUCACUUCAUUUCCUUUGGUUAAUCAUUUCAGAAUAAAUAUUUUUUUUUUCUACAUGUAAACCUAGAUCAAUGACUUUUUCUCUUUUUACAUAGGAUUUGAGAGAUUCAGCUUGGACACAAGGGAACCCUCCUUCCCCACACAGGUGCUGCAGUCCUGGCUACAGGGCCCCAGAGAGGUGGGUGGCUCUGGCCCAGAUAUUGAGGGCUGGACAAGGCUCUGGUACGGGGACAGAUCUCCUUGGAGAAGUUAGGCUGGAGGCCUCCUGGUCCUUUCUCACAGCUCUGCUGUGGGACUGUAAUUUAACCAUGUGCUGCUAGAUGAGAAAGAUGCACAAACCUAUGUACUUCCCACCAAGCAAAUUUCAAUUAGAUUCUAAGUGUGAGAUACUAAUUACCUGCAACUUAAUACAAGAGUAAGAACCUGAAAAGGUCUGGUACUCUGGAGCUACUACAGUUUCUAAAUGAGCAGAAAUGAAGACUCUAUACCUAGGAUACUCUGUGUGUGUGAGUGUGAAAUAUUACACAAUGCAAGAUUAAAAUGCGUGCAUUAAACCAAA